rnacentral:rRNA from 1 species
ACGAGCGGCGGACGGGUGAGUAAUGUCUGGGAAACUGCCUGAUGGAGGGGGAUAACUACUGGAAACGGUAGCUAAUACCGCAUAACGUCUUCGGACCAAAGUGGGGGACCUUCGGGCCUCAUGCCAUCAGAUGUGCCCAGAUGGGAUUAGCUAGUAGGUGGGGUAAUGGCUCACCUAGGCGACGAUCCCUAGCUGGUCUGAGAGGAUGACCAGCCACACUGGAACUGAGACACGGUCCAGACUCCUACGGGAGGCAGCAGUGGGGAAUAUUGCACAAUGGGCGCAAGCCUGAUGCAGCCAUGCCGCGUGUAUGAAGAAGGCCUUCGGGUUGUAAAGUACUUUCAGCGAGGAGGAAGGCAUUAAGGUUAAUAACCUUGGUGAUUGACGUUACUCGCAGAAGAAGCACCGGCUAACUCCGUGCC